rnacentral:rRNA from 1 species
GACAGAGGGUGCAAACGUUGUUCGGAAUUACUGGGCGUAAAGCGCGUGUAGGCGGCCCUGCAAGUCGGGUGUGAAAUCCCACGGCUCAACCGUGGAAGUGCACUCGAAACUGCAGGGCUAGAGUCCUGGAGAGGAAGGUGGAAUGCUUGGUGUAGAGGUGAAAUUCGUAGAUAUCAAGCGGAACACCGGUGGCGAAGGCGGCCUUCUGGACAGUGACUGACGCUGAGACGCGAAAGCGUGGGGAGCAAACGGG